rnacentral:rRNA from 1 species
GACGAACGCUGGCGGCGUGCCUAAUACAUGCAAGUCGAGCGGACUUUCAAGAAGCUUGCUUUUUGAAAGUUAGCGGCGGACGGGUGAGUAACACGUGGGCAACCUGCCUGCAAGACGGGGAUAACUCCGGGAAACCGGGGCUAAUACCGGAUAAUAUCUUCCUUCGCAUGAAGGAAGGUUGAAAGGCGGCGCAAGCUGCCGCUUGCAGAUGGGCCCGCGGCGCAUUAGCUAGUUGGUGAGGUAACGGCUCACCAAGGCGACGAUGCGUAGCCGACCUGAGAGGGUGAGCGGCCACACUGGGACUGAGACACGGCCCAGACUCCUACGGGAGGCAGCAGUAGGGAAUCUUGCGCAAUGGACGAAAGUCUGACGGAGCAACGCCGCGUGAGCGAAGAAGGUCUUCGGAUCGUAAAGCUCUGUUGUCAGGGAAGAACAAGUACCGUUCGAACAGGGCGGUACCUUGACGGUACCUGACCAGAAAGCCACGGCUAACUACGUG